UUGAACGCUGGCGGCAGGCCUAACACAUGCAAGUCGAGCGGUAGCACAGAGAGCUUGCUCUCGGGUGACGAGCGGCGGACGGGUGAGUAAUGUCUGGGAAACUGCCUGAUGGAGGGGGAUAACUACUGGAAACGGUAGCUAAUACCGCAUAACGUCGCAAGACCAAAGUGGGGGACCUUCGGGCCUCAUGCCAUCAGAUGUGCCCAGAUGGGAUUAGCUAGUAGGUGGGGUAACGGCUCACCUAGGCGACGAUCCCUAGCUGGUCUGAGAGGAUGACCAGCCACACUGGAACUGAGACACGGUCCAGACUCCUACGGGAGGCAGCAGUGGGGAAUAUUGCACAAUGGGCGCAAGCCUGAUGCAGCCAUGCCGCGUGUGUGAAGAAGGCCUUCGGGUUGUAAAGCACUUUCAGCGGGGAGGAAGGCGUUAAGGUUAAUAACCUUGGCGAUUGACGUUACCCGCAGAAGAAGCACCGGCUAACUCCGUGCCAGCAGCCGCGGUAAUACGGAGGGUGCAAGCGUUAAUCGGAAUUACUGGGCGUAAAGCGCACGCAGGCGGUCUGUCAAGUCGGAUGUGAAAUCCCCGGGCUCAACCUGGGAACUGCAUUCGAAACUGGCAGGCUAGAGUCUUGUAGAGGGGGGUAGAAUUCCAGGUGUAGCGGUGAAAUGCGUAGAGAUCUGGAGGAAUACCGGUGGCGAAGGCGGCCCCCUGGACAAAGACUGACGCUCAGGUGCGAAAGCGUGGGGAGCAAACAGGAUUAGAUACCCUGGUAGUCCACGCCGUAAACGAUGUCGAUUUGGAGGUUGUGCCCUUGAGGCGUGGCUUCCGGAGCUAACGCGUUAAAUCGACCGCCUGGGGAGUACGGCCGCAAGGUUAAAACUCAAAUGAAUUGACGGGGGCCCGCACAAGCGGUGGAGCAUGUGGUUUAAUUCGAUGCAACGCG
rnacentral:rRNA from 1 species